rnacentral:lncRNA from 1 species
GCGGCCGAGCGCGGCGACGGAGGCGUGCGCGCCGUGCGGCUGGAAGGCGGCGUCGGAGAGGUCGGUGCAGACGCCGCAGAGGAACCUGUAUAUGCUGUUCCCCAUGGCCCCUAGGAGGAGGAGCAGGAGGAGGAGGACGAGGCGGCGGGUGGUGGUCGUGGGCGGCGGCGGGUGAAUCCGCCCCGGGAUCUGUAAAGAAUGGAGGUGGUGGUCGUGCGUGGAUCUGCGGGGCGGAUGACAGUGUGCGCGUCCUCUCACCAGAGCCGUUUCGGAAGGGAUCCCGGCUCGCCUCACGAGGAAGGGAAGGCUGGAGGAGCGGGGACGGGGGAAGGGGAAGCUGUUGAGCUCUGCU